rnacentral:rRNA from 1 species
CUAAGGCUCCGGAGGAAGCCACGGCUAACCCUGUGCCAGCAGCCGCGGUAAUACAGAGGCGGCAAGCGUUGUUCGGAAUUAUUGGGCGUAAAGAGCACGUAGGCGGCUAUGUAAGUCGGUUGUGAAAGCCUUCCGCUCAACGGGAGAACAGCAUCCGAUACUGCAUGGCUUGAGUGCGGGAGGGGAGAGUGGAACUUCUGGUGGAGCGGUGAAAUGCGUAGAUAUCAGAAGGAACGCCGGCGGCGAAAGCGGCUCUCUGGCCCAUAACUGACGCUGAGUGUGCGAAAGCUAGGGGAGCAAACGGGAUUAGAUACCCCGGUAGUCCUAACCGUAAA